UCACCUAAUGUUUACACAUCCAAAUACUUGCUAUUCAUUAUGAAAUUCAUCGCAAGCUUUGUUAUAUUUUUUCUUGUUUAUGUGCCAAACUGUUCGAUAGCUCAAUAUGAAUUCCUGAAGAUUGUGGAACAGUGGCGUCCAGCGACAUGUCUCCAAAAAAACAUCAAAUGUGCCCGAAAUCCAAAUAAUUUUACAUUGCACGGGCUUUGGCCCAGCAACAGCAGCAGUGGCAGCAGUAGCAGUGAUCCUAUUCGCUGCACCCAUACCCCAUUUAAAAGUAGUUCGAUCCAAACUUUAUUUCCCAGAAUCAAUAAUUCAUGGCCAGAUGUGAUCAGAGGAAACGAAGAGAUUUUUUGGAAACAUGUCGCUGGACGCCACUGUUCCACAAUCUUCAGGAAUUCAUAUUGAGCUAUCGAACAGUUUGGCACAUAAACAAGAAAAAAUAUAACCACAUCGUCGUUGGUUCAUCUUUUUUUCCUUUUGCUUGUUUCUUUCACUUUUUAUUUUCUUCUUACAGUAAAAAUUGAAAUUUAGUUGAUUUGUGAAAUUGUGUGAAACUUUAUUCCAUGUUUUAAAAAACGCACGAAAACCACCACUAUUCUCAUCGCCUCUUCAAUUAGCGCCAACGACAUUGCCACCGUGCGUAGCACCUCCCACUACCCCAUCACACUCUGGCAACCCACGAGACACCAUUGGCCUCUCCUUCCACCUCCCUCCACCGGCCCACCGCUUAAAGCCAACACCUCCACUUCGCUGCAAUAACCUCUACCACCGUUAAAAAAUCUCGACCACUACCUUGCUUCUCUUUCCAUCGGUAUGUUUUAUUUAACCUUCCAUUAAUGUUGAGAUUGUGUGUUUGUUGUGAUUUGAGAAAUAGUUUGAUUUGAUAUUGAAGAAAAUGUAUAAGGGAUUUGAAGAAAAAAAGAUGAAGAAGACAUUUUGUUUUGCUCUGUUUGUGCGUCGCGUGAGAGAAAUAGGGAUUAUGUUGCUUUUCUGCUUUUACUCGUUACAAAGACAUGACCUUAUUA